AGGGCUACGGCUGGGGACGUUUGAUAUGUUCACCUCCUAACUAGUCCAAACAAAGUCACGAAAUCAAAAUUUGUGUACAGCAUUUCCCUUUAUAACUUUUUUAGAGCAUUCAUUUCCUGGCCUGUGCGUGUAUUUUUGAUAAUGAUUUCAGUGGUAAAUAUGAAAUAAUUGUUAUAGAACAUUUUAAUCUAACUCUUCUACGACUAAAACAGAAUAUAUUAUAUUCAUGUAUUUCAAAUGACUAUAUGAAAAGUUUAUGAUGCAAUUCAGAUAUAAAAAAAACGCUUUUGGUUUACCUCGUUGGCUGAAAAGGUGGGUCCUUUUUAUACAACACAAGCGUUAUUGUGCUUACUGUGGGGUUUAGUCAUAAUGUCGCACCUAUAAUAUUUGUUUAUUAAUCAUAUAAAUAAAGUUAACUAUUAGUUAUAAUCAAAUAAAUAAAAGAGACUGCCUAAUUUAUCUAAAGAUUAAGGUCACAUGUGCUUUUUAACGUAAGCCGAAAAUAGGACCUAACUUAGACUACCUAUUCGAUAUACUAACAUGAACAGUGAGCUGCAAUCUUAAUAAAACUUCAGUGAGUAAUACCACAGAAUAAAUAAUAGUAGUACUGUACAGAAAUGACACUUCCUACAAAACCGUAGUUUCACAGCGAUUCAGGGACGAAUUAUGCUGUCCCUUUACAAUGUUUGACACUAUCUCUUUCGGCCAUUUAGGAUUGUCAAAAUUCAAGUCAUUAUCUUAUCUGUGGUCGUACACGUAUAGGGACGUCCAGUUGUGCCAACCCUAACAAUUGCUCGGAGCAAUGCUGAGCCGAACGGAGCCGGGAAAAGCCGAAAGAAGGAGUGACGUCCAACUGGUAAUACUAGUGCCAAUUGGUUUAGUUUACCGAAGAUAAUUCAACCCUUGUAAAAGAGUAAGGUAAAAAUAAAGAAGCCUCUGCCGUUUGUGUCCUAGUGAUUCUGACUAGGAAAAAAAUGAAUGUUUAUGUUCUUUUACCUUUAUCAUUUAUGGGUUUAGGUAUCAACUUUCAAGUCAUGUAAGUAUUGAGUAGUAUUGGGACCUACUACUGAUAAAGCCUGUAAACCGUGGUAUUUGGCGAUAGCUAGAAUAAUUUACGUAAUUCUGUCUGUUAACAUGGCGACCUCCCGUACCUAUUCACAAUUGCGCUUUCAUAUUUACACUUUAGCUCGCGAAGCAGAAUAUAUACCUAUACUUAUCUAUAUGCGUAUGUAACGUAUUCUCAAUUUCUUUACAAUGUUACAUUGCUACACUUAUAAAAAUUAAUAAGCGAAGCCAAAUUUUACACUAAUACACAUCAUAAUUAUUAUAGUAUCAAAAUCGAGAAUGUGUAAUUUUAAAGAUUCUUCCCAGAGUGCUGAUAGUAUGAACUUAGCCCUUAAGAUUAUUUUUAAAUAAAUAUGUAGAUUACUAUUCAUAGCUACUUGUUUUUAUACGAAUAAGGAUUUAAAUUGUACACAUUUCCAAAAGACACAUCACAUGUCAUAAAGAAUUGUAAGGGAAAAAAGUAGAGAUACUAAUAAUAAUUACUAUUAUUAAAUAUAUUUAUUUUACAAAAUCGGUAUUCCUACUGACAUCUUAUCUAUUAAACUAACUGCAUGUAAUAUAUGUAAAGUCUGAUAUAUAUCAAUGUUUUGUUUCUAUCAGGAAGUAGGUCAAAACUUUACGUUACUAUUUUUAUUUUCCACUAAUUAAUUUUAAAAGUUUUCCUGUUUUGCACCUGUCCCUGUAUAGUAUUUAGUUAUAAAGAUCUUUAUUUCUUAUAAGAAUACAUGAUAUUCACUUACAAGAGAAUUAUUCUUUUUUCAUGCAAAAUACAUUCUAUCGGUGAGCGCACGCACACUUAUAACAUAUAACUACUGUAGUGUAGGUACAUAUAUGACUUAAACUAAUAGUAUACAAAAUAAACGAAACAAUAACAUUUUAGUGGGUAAAUCAAAUAACUAAAUAAAACAAUUUGCAAUAGAAUGCGAGCGUAGUUGCUACGGACGGAUAUAAAGAGCGUGAAGGUGACAUAGCGCUUUUUAUUGUUCUUAAUUUUAUGGUAUUUUUUGUUAUAAUGUGGGACUUAGUCAAUUUGUGUAAGAAUGUCCCUAUAAUAUUUAUUUAGUUAUAAUUGAUAAAAGAGAACAAAUAAAAGCAAAUAUAAAUCUUAGUUAUAUUAUGUUUAUAUGUAUAUUAAUAUUAAAAUUAAUGAGGUGGGCUAUUUUUUUUUAUCACUAAAAUAACACAUUUAUUCAGCAAAUACAAUACUGAUUAUAACAGUAGAAAUUAAAUAAAUAAAUAAGUUAAAAUCUGGUACAACGUCUGUCAGUCGGAGUGUAGAAGGGCGGCACCAUCAUCGAAACCAAAUAAUUUCGCUGCUGGCUUCCAUUUGUGGCGGCUGCCUCGAAUGCACAUGCUAGUCGCUCUAAUUAUUGAAGUUAUUAUACGAGCUCUCAGCCAGCCCAAAACGCGAAACAAUGAUCUGUCCCAGCGAGAUGCAAGUGCUUCCUCGAGGUGAUUAACAAAGGUAGGUAAUUGUGGUGCAAAAACUUCAUCCACGGAGAUGACGAGGGGUGUAAAAGUGGCAUGAUGCAACUCGCAGGCGUUGGCGUAUUUGUUUUGCUUUUCUGAUUCGGCAGAUUUCAGGACAGAAACAACGGGGCGUGAGAUGUAAGAGGGGGCGUCAGUGUCUACAACACGUAUGUCAAAUAACGCCUCCCUCUGUGCAACCCACACGCCACGGCAUCCUAAAUCUCCUCGUAGGCCAGUGUCACCUUCAGUGAUAAUGGGUUCUUUGACUACAUUUCCCCAUGCUUGUUGGCAUAAUUCACAAAAGAGAUCCCUUAUUUCAUUGUGACGUCUCGUGAUUAGACCGCCAGUUUUACAACAAAGGGCAUGAUCAAUGUUGAAAUCGUUGUUGCCGCAUCCAUCACAAGAUUUUAGCAUUGAGAUUGGUGUUCGAUGGUAACGUAUUGAAAGGGCAUCUCGGAAUUCAUGUGGGGACAGGUCAAAGUGAUCUUUACUUGUGGGUAUAACAGAUAGCCAAUUGGAGGAUUUUGUUUUCAUUUUGGUCAUAAUUGAUCUUUCGAAGGCUCUUUUUUUUGACAGGUGGGAGAUUGGUUAAAAUAGAAAUUGGUUAAUAUUUAUUAGUGAUAUAAUGUUUCAGCAAACUUUUACAUGUAAUAAAGGACUUGGCGUCUUAUAAUUAUGUCUUUCGGUAAUUUAUUAUAUAAAUCUGCACCUUCAAAGUAUACUUUUUUUCCAUAGUUUGUACGUGGUGGACGAAGAAUAAUUUGCAUAUCUUAGUUUUAUUCUUUGAACUUCACGUUUUUUGGUAAAAUAUAUUCUUAUAAGAUAUCUAUACAUCUUUCUGUAUAAUUUUUCGUAUUAUUUAACUAUACUUCUAGCACUAAACACUUUUUACUGAUUUAUAAGCGGGAUAGAUGCACCCGUGAUAUCCGUCCACGCGUAGGUACUACGAGUAGUUGCUUCGAGUUUCGAGUACGCGCCAAAUGUACAAAAUCCCACAAGCCCAUAUUCACUGUUUGGAUAUAAUUUUCACUGUUCGUAUUGAGCCCGCAUCAUUACUCAAGAUAUUGUAUAUAUAUAUAAGGAUAUUUUCGGGAAGUAUGUAGGUAUGUAUGUAUAUACUUUAUUGUACAUAGAAAUAUAAACACGAAAAACAGUUACAGAGUAAAUUAAAUACAACUAAUAUCCCUGUAUGGGAUCUCUUCCAGUUAACCUUUGAGGAAUGAGUAGAACAGAAGUAACGAUGAAUGAAUGACAAACACAAACAAAAGUGUACAAUCAGCAAUCACUGAAAUUAAUGAAAUGCACGUUUUGAAUACACAUUGAUACAAAUAUACAUAAAUAGAAAAAUAACCAUAAAAUAAUGCAUAUAUAUAAUAGUAGUAGUAGUGGUAGUUUUAGGGCCUGGACCUAACAACAUUUAAAGUUACCUCUGGGUAUGAAUUGCAUCUAAUUUCAUAUAAUUAGUUAUAUUACCUAUCCGUCAACGAUUGUGCCCAAGCAUAUUUGGGCAUCUAUAUCUCUGGAACUAAGAGGUCUACGUAGACCGAUUUGGUCUGAAUUUGUUACAAAUUCGAUCUGCUCAGUAUAAUUUCAAGCAAUAUUUGUUGUAAAUUUUAUUUUGCAGAAUGUAUAUUUAGGUUUUUGUGAACACAUUUCUCAAAAUCUAAAAAGAGAUCUGAAUAGUCCGGGUCAAAGUUAUGUACUACGAGUACUUGCCCCGGCGGGCUUUUGAGGCCAUAAAUUUAAAUUUGCAUUGAUAGUAAAAAAAACACUAUUAGCUUAUUAUAUCUGACGACCCGUCUGGCUUAGUCGGUUGUGUUCUUGCCUAUAAACCUUAAGGUCCCGGGUUCAGAUCCUGGUAAGGGGAUUUUUUUGUGUGAUGAGCACGGAUAUUUGUUCCAGAGUAAUCUGAAUGUACAGUGCUUUGGUUUCGACUGCAAUGCUGUAAAUUAUGUUUUCAAUAAAAAAAAUAGGUGUUUUCUAAGUAUUUAAGUAUUUAUAUAGUUGUCUAAGUACCCACAAUACAAGCCUUCUUGAGCUUACUGUGGGACUUAGUCAAUUUGUGUAGUAAUGUCCUUAAUAUAUAAAAAACCGGACAAGUGCGAGUCGGACUCGCCCACUGAGGGUUCCGUACUUUUUAGUAUUUGUUGUUAUAGCGGCAACAGAAAUACAUCAUCUGUGAAAAUUUCAACUGUCUAGCUGACAGACGGACGGACAGCGGAGUCUUAGUAAUAGUGUCCCGUUUUACCCUUUGGGUACGGAACCAUAAAAAACAGCAUUGUGAUUGUACUAAUUGACUUCAUGUUUGGUUAGGUACACAUAGGUAACGUAUUUAUUGUUCUCGUUAGUCUUAUAAAGAGUUUCACAAUGUUGAGGCACAUUGUCAUUUUUCUCAAAUUAAAACACAAUUGAUCAACACGACAGCACCAAGCACCAUAUGGUAUCAACUUCAAAUGAUAUUUCAUCGGGGAAAUGUGAAACUAAAAAUCCUUACUCGUAUAAAAGUCUUAUUUAAGUAUUUACAAAGCAUUUCAUUGUUUUUAACGCAAAUGAUUGUAUAAAUAUCUACAAUAUCGACACCUACUUAGCAUGUACAAAGACUUCAUAUUAAUAAAAUACUGAGAUACCGACUUAAAAUUACUUAAUAAAAUGGAUUAAGAACGUA